AUUAUUGGGCGUAAAGAGCUCGUAGGCGGUUUGUCGCGUCUGCUGUGAAAACUGGAGGCUCAACCUCCAGCCUGCAGUGGGUACGGGCAGACUAGAGUGCGGUAGGGGAGAUUGGAAUUCCUGGUGUAGCGGUGGAAUGCGCAGAUAUCAGGAGGAACACCAAUGGCGAAGGCAGAUCUCUGGGCCGUAACUGACGCUGAGGAGCGAAAGCAUGGGGAGCGAACAGGAUUAGAUACCCUGGUAGUCCAUGCCGUAAACGUUGGGAACUAGAUGUAGGGACCAUUCCACGGUUUCUGUGUCGCAGCUAACGCAUUAAGUUCCCCGCCUGGGGAGUACGGCCGCAAGGCUAAAACUCAAAGGAAUUGACGGGGGCCCGCACAAGCGGCGGAGCAUGCGGAUUAAUUCGAUGCAACGCGAAGAACCUUACCAAGACUUGACAUAUACGAGAACGGGCCAGAAAUGGUCAACUCUUUGGACACUCGUAAACAGGUGGUGCAUGGUUGUCGUCAGCUCGUGUCGUGAGAUGUUGGGUUAAGUCCCGCAACGAGCGCAACCCUCGUUCUUUGUUGCCAGCACGUAAUGGUGGGAACUCAAAGGAGACUGCCGGGGUCAACUCGGAGGAAGGUGGGGAUGACGUCAAAUCAUCAUGCCCCUUAUGUCUUGGGCUUCACGCAUGCUACAAUGGCCGAUACAAAGGGCUGCAAUACCGCAAGGUGGAGCGAAUCCCAAAAAGUCGGUCUCAGUUCGGAUUGAGGUCUGCAACUCGACCUCAUGAAGUCGGAGUCGCUAGUAAUCGCAGAUCAGCAACGCUGCGGUGAAUACGUUCCCGGGCCUUGUACACACCGCCCGUCAAGUCAUGAAAGUCGGUAACACCCGAAGCCAGUGGCCUAACCCGCAAGGGGAGGAGCUGUCGAAU
rnacentral:rRNA from 1 species